GCUUACGGCCACACCGCCUGGUUCACGCCCCGAUCUCGUUUGAUCUCGGAAGCUAAUAUAGGUUGGCCCUGGUUAGUACUUGGAUGGGAGACCGCCUGGGAAUACCAGGUGCUGUAAGCU
ensembl:rRNA 5S_rRNA 5S ribosomal RNA